GACUAGCUAUGUGUGGUGUGUCAACAUAAAGAGUGUCUUAUUUAUUUUGAUUUUCCAACUGGGGUUGAAAAAUCCCUCUUAUACAUUUCCUGCUAGGAUAUUAAUAGAGCUGGUAAUAAAUACUACAUACCGGUGUGCACAAUACAUAAAUAGCAAUAUGAUUUGGCAGGUACCUUAUUCUCAAAUAAUGCUAUUAUUUUAUUUUUCUUAUUUUACAGACACCAGUAUGAAGCUAAUAUUUACAGCUCUAUAUAGUUAAUCAGUACAAAAAGACCCUUCCUCAUAAAAAAAAUUGAUAGGUGAUUACUUGGAACGCCAUAGCAAAUGAUGUGGCAAAUAAGUUAAUUUCUCCAACAUAUAAUUUACAUUCUCCCGUCCCUGAAAAGUCAUCAGAUAUCAAUUUAUCGAUAGAGGUUCGCUCACAGACAGAUCCAAAAAGUCCAUUUCUGAUUUCCUUUCUUUUUUGAACACAAUUAGCUCCAAUAAUACCCCUUUCUUUUGCUCCAUCAUAUAAUUUGUAAAAAGUUGUGUCCUGAGCGGCCAUUUGACCGAGUUGAUCCAGGAUGGAUCCUUUUUCAAUGAUCCAAGGCAAUUCAUCCUGAUUCACCAAGUCCUACAGAAUCCCAACAUGCUAUAUUAAAACAAAUGUACUCUUUUUUUCACCAGACAUACUUGAACAGAAUUAAUUGGAAUCGGAAUGUUUGGUACAGCGAGAAGGGAUGCAAGGGUCCCUGAAUAGCUCUUUGCAAUGAUAAUGAGAGAUAACAUCCAUACAGCUGAGAAGAUUCUUUGAUAGAUAAACUUAUCUGGUGCCCAUUCCGAGGAUUCGCCAAGAAUAUUUCUGUAGGUGAAGGAUAUAAUUUUUGGAACAUGUUUAUGUCCAAUUCGACGACCAAAGAAAGUAAUAUCACUGAUGAUCACUAAAAUGUAAGAAACAAUGUAGUUGCUUCUUAUGGAGCAGGGUCGUGAGUGCAAGACUGAGCCAUAGUGAUAAUCCAAAUGGUUUAAAAAUUGUCCAAUUAUUUCGAUAGGGUUGUAUGGGUACUACGGCAGCCCAAUAGUCAAUGACAAUAGGAACUGUAAAAUCACAGGCCUGCUCUCGUUCAUAAAUGACACCAAAUGGUCCAAGGGCAAAGUCAACUUCGUUUCUUUUGACCAUACCCAACAUUCCAUUCCAUUCUCCAUUUUCAUCCCCUACGCCCCAUUGCCCAUCUGAAAAUGUUUUUGUCUUCAUUAGUGCUGUUUAGUUUAACGAUGCUAUAGUUGUAUGAGUGAACUCGCUCAUUUAAACGCUACUUACGGAUGUGAAUAUUGGCUAAAUUAAAGUGAGCGUGUGGUUUCUACGCUCACUACAAAAAAAGCCAAUAAUGACAUCCCGAAACAUAUUAUGAUGAACUAAAUUGGAAUGGACACCAAACCCUGCUGAGCCACCACGUCAUUAAACAAAAAUUGACAUCCCACCUAAUGCCCUGACUCUUCAACUUUCUAAGGCCCCACUCCAAACAAUAAUUUUUUUAUUGAAAAAUAAUAGUCAUUAAAAAAAGCACUUGAGUAAUUUAUCAGAUACAACAAAAGUAAAAACGUGACUAUUGAUAAUCAGGUCAGAUGGAGAAUUGUAAUAUUAUAAUGUCCAUUUGUAAUUUAUCAUUGUUAUUCCAUCUGACCAAUUACAAGAAUA
rnacentral:lncRNA from 1 species